rnacentral:sRNA from 1 species
UCCCAAGCUGCCUUCUCCUGAAGGAUAA